ensembl:lncRNA PPIEL peptidylprolyl isomerase E like (pseudogene)
ACGCCUUGGGGACUGCGUUUGGCUUCAUCAGGUGCACCUGGCCAGGAAGGGAGCACAGGCAGGGGCAUGAGGCCAGUGGCCUCCUCUGAGGACCCACCUAGCCCCGCCCCAGCUCCACCUGCUCCCUGCCCUGGCCAUCUCCAAGCCACAUGGGAGCAGCACAAUAAUAAGAAUUAUUAACAGGAAUAAGAGCAGCCCUGAGAGCUCUGGGAGCGGGAGCUGUGGUGGCCCACAGUGCCCAGGGAGGGAUACAUGGCAGCCCCAGGGUGUGGGGCAGGUGGGCAGGGCACUAAUGAGGGGCCUCGAGUCCCAGGCCAAGGGCUCAGACUUCCUCCUGGGGAUAAUGGGAAGGAGAACCUCAUGGCCAGGUUUGUGCCCUUAGUGAGGUCCCCAAGGGGGAACCUGGAAGGACCACUGUCUUCUUAUAGCCCUUCAGACCCCCCCAGAGGCUCUGCCUCCCCACACCCUGGCCUCCCUCCCCAGGCUCUGGGAGGCCAGGCCUCGCCCCCUCUCCUGUGCUGCUCCUUCUCCCAGAGGACUGCAUCCGCCCUCAGCACUUCAAGGCCCUGCAUGUGCCCGCACCUCUCCACUCCCCUGGCUCAGCUUGGACCUCUCUUCUGAACUCCAGACUUGCGGAUCCUGCUCCCCUUCCCACUUCUGCACUUGGGGGUCUAAUGAGGCCUCAGUGGAACAUAGAAUUCCUCCCGCCCUGACAUCAUAGCUCCCGCCUGGGAGGCCUCCUGGAUGACUCCUUUCGCCUCCUCCCUUCCCUGAGAGCAGCCCCUGGCUCAACCUCCACCUCCGUGCUGCCUCGGACCACCUGCCCAGUCGAGCUGCCAUCACCUGCCAGGUGACCACAGCAGCCCUCACUCAUCCCCUGCUCCUCUGCCUUCCACUCCCGCGACCAUCAGCCUCCCCAAGCCAGAAAGGUCCUUCUGGAGGGUGACGCAGACCAGGACACUGCUUUGCUGAAGACCUCUGACAGCCUCUGGGGUUGCUUGGAAUAAAAUCCACCCUCCUUCCCAGGGAACCCCAGGCCCUACGGGAGCUGGCCUGGCUCACCCCGGCAUCACCUCCCUCCACUCUCCUCCCCUUCACUGCACCCAGCCCCUCUCCUCCCUGCUGGCCCUGAACUUAGGGCCAGCCUGCUCCUGUCUUAGGGCCUUGCACUUGCUCCUUCUGGAACAUUCCUCCUCCAGCUGCUGACGUGCCCCUCCUUGUGUGGAGAGGCUGGGCCCAGUCUCACUCCACUGACGGCACGGCUGCUCUGCUCUUCCUCACAGGAGGUGUCAACUCCACGGUUGGUUUGCUUCUGUGCCCACCGACAGCCUCCCCUAGAGCACAGUGCCUGUUUGCUGCCCUGUAGGCUGUGAGCACUCACUCUAGUUGAGCCCCUGAGGGGCAGGGGCAAGGGCAGAGGAGAUGGAGUCCAGGAGCUGCAGGUGCAGUCACCUUCCCAUGUACCUCCCACACAUGCAGCUGUGAGAACCACACGGCAUAAAGGGUGGCUGGGCCAGGCCACCCCACGCGUCCUCAUCACCCCUGGGCCUUUCCAAGGAGAUGGCUCCAGGUGUCCAGCAAACACCAUUUGACUGCCCAGAAAGGAAGUAUUAUCAUAGGCUCAGAGCAGCUUUUGGUAAUUUCUUUCCUCUCACACCAAGGCAUUGUGUGCGCACGUGUGUGUGUGUGUGUGUGUGUGUGUGUGUUUUAAUUUUUAUUUUAGAGACAGGGUUUUGCUGUGUUGCUCAGGCUUGUCUUGAACUUCUGGGCUCGUGUGCUGCGAUUACAGGGUGAGCCACUGCGCCUGAUCAAGGCAUCACCGUUGAACCUCCUAAGAGGAAAACAUAAGGCUGUGCAAUACCAGGAACUGGGAUUCUAGGUUGCCCCAGACACCAAGGCAUCAAAAGCCAGGGGAUCCAGAGAAAACACAGACAGCCAAGAGAGAAACUGCGGGAAAAAGCCAAAAGGUUGAGAGCCACACCAUCUAGAAGCUUCCUGCCUGUGGUGCGGCACAGAAACAAGGAGAGUCAGCAAUUACCAGCCAGCCAAGGUCCUGGAAGCUGACGUAGAGCUCGUGCCGACGGCAGACCUGCCGGCCGUGGGAGCCGCGGACGUCAUCUGCAGGGACAGAAGGGGCAAGGUCUUUUCUGGGGUUCCUGCUGUGUGCAGCUACUAUGGGGUACCAGGGUGGGGGAUGCCCUGAUGAGCACAUUUGUCAAAUAAAUGAAUGACAGGAAACCA